rnacentral:rRNA from 1 species
GCGCAUUUAGCAUAUCAAUAAGCGGAGGAAAAGAAACCAACAGGGAUUGCCCUAGUAACGGCGAGUGAAGCGGCAACAGCUCAAAUUUGAAAUCUGGCUCUUUCAGAGUCCGAGUUGUAAUUUGCAGAGGGUGCUUUGGCGUUGGCAGCGGUCCAAGUUCUUUGGAACAGGACGUCACAGAGGGUGAGAAUCCCGUACGUGGUCGCUAGCCUUCGCCGUGUAAAGCCCCUUCGACGAGUCGAGUUGUUUGGGAAUGCAGCUCUAAAUGGGAGGUAAAUUUCUUCUAAAGCUAAAUACUGGCCAGAGACCGAUAGCGCACAAGUAGAGUGAUCGAAAGAUGAAAAGCACUUUGGAAAGAGAGUCAAAUAGCACGUGAAAUUGUUGAAAGGGAAGCGCUUGCAGCCAGACUUGCCUGUAGUUGCUUAUCCGGACUUUUGUCCGGUGCACUCUUCUGCGGGCAGGCCAGCAUCAGUUUGGGCGGUUGGAUAAAGGUCUCUGUCAUGUACCUCCUUUCGGGGAGGCCUUAUAGGGGAGACGUCAUGCAACCAGCCUGGACUGAGGUCCGCGCAUCUGCUAGGAUGCUGGCGUAAUGGCUGUAAGCGGCCCGUCUUGAAACACGGACCAAGGAGUCUAACAUCUAUGCGAGUGUUUGGGUGUCAAGCCCAGACGCGUAAUGAAAGUGAACGGAGGUGGGAACCUUUUAGGUGCACCAUCGACCGAUCCUGAUGUCUUCGGAAGGAUUUGAGUAAGAGCAUAGCUGUUGGGACCCGAAAGAUGGUGAACUAUGCUUGAAUAGGGUGAAGCCAGAGGAAACUCUGGUGGAGGCUCGCAGCGGUUCUGACGUGCAAAUCGAUCGUCAAAUUUGGGCAUAGGGGCGAAAGACUAAUCGAACUAUCUAGUAGCUGCGUUCCUGCGCAGUCUCU